CGUAGGUGGCAAGCGUUGUCCGGAAUUAUUGGGCGUAAAGCGCGCGCAGGCGGUCCUUUAAGUCUGAUGUGAAAGCCCACGGCUCAACCGUGGAGGGUCAUUGGAAACUGGGGGACUUGAGUACAGAAGAGAAGAGUGGAAUUCCACGUGUAGCGGUGAAAUGCGUAGAGAUGAGGAGGAACACCAGUGGCGAAGGCGACUCUUUGGUCUGUAACUGACGCUGAGGCGCGAAAGCGUGGGGAGCAAACAGGAUUAGAUACCCUGGUAGUCCACGCUGUAAACGAUGAGUGCUAAGUGUUAGAGGGUUUCCGCCCUUUAGUGCUGCAGCUAACGCAUUAAGCACUCCGCCUGGGGAGUACGGCCGCAAGGCUG
rnacentral:rRNA from 1 species